CCAGACCAGUUUUCAGUGAUAUUUUUCUGUCAGAUUUACUUGUGGGAUAGAGAACCAGAAAACCACAUCCUAGUGGCAGUUCUGAUUUAUUAGUGUUUGCUGUUCCAUCGCCAGGCUGCUUGGCUCAUCAGCUGUGGAAUGUGCUGGUAUUAGACUGUACUGAUUAAAGUUUUAUAGUCACCAAAUCAGAUUAGCCACCCAGUCACCUGACCAGGCUGGCCUUGCCAUCAUGUGGCCCACGCCCUGCUGAGCUCCUGCUGGGAGCUGAAACAAGGUAGUUUGCUUUUGAGAUGUUCUUAAGUAUCUAACAGCAUGGGUCGUGGAUUAUGGCUGCAAAGAAGAUGGCUUCAUUUUCCUGAUCUUUGAACUAGCUAGAAUGGGAUAAGUUUGAAAGUGCAGGAUCUUCAGGCCAUGAGCCAGCAACUGGGAAGAAUGUUUAAUCCUGGAAGCUCUGACACCAAAAGACCUGUUUUUUUCAGUGUGAAAAAGCUUAAAGACUGCUUAUCCAGUCAGUCUGUGGCAAAUGAAAGAAUUAGUUGGAGUGUUUAGGACUUGCAGUUGUAUGAUAUUUCAUAAAACAUAAGAUCUUACUCAGAAAGCCUCUUACCUAAAUUCAUCCUUGUGGGUAUCCUGAGCAACAGGAAAAAAUAUAAACCUGUGUCAAAUUUAAACAGAAAUAGAACCAAAAAACUUUUUAAACUUUUUAAAGCUUUUAAAAUAGAGCCAAAUUAGGACACAUGAGUUAAAGUAGUAUGUGCUGAAGAUAAGAAAUUAUUUUAAAAGUUACUUUAUGUUUCUGUAAUUUCAGAACUAUACAGUAUAAUGUUACUGAAACCUGCAGAACAAUAAUCUUGAAAGUGAAUUGUGAGUUUAAUUUAGUGUCUUGAUAAGCAUCAUACAGAUCAGUGCUGUAUUUAAUAGGGAUUGUUUUCCUUGUGUUUCUCAUACUUCCUGGCGAGACCCACAAACAUGGAAGGAACCUCAGGUUUCCAGAGUACUGACCAAUGAUGUUUUCUGGUUAUUGUCUCCCACAGAUAUUCCAGACAGGAAUGCUAGCUUGGUUUUUCAGCUCUCACCAACUUUCACAGCACUCUGGCCAUCCACAGAGUGGGGCAUGAACCAGGGUGUGCUGCAGUAAAUAAUUCUGCAGAGUUGUGUGUUGCUUGCUCUAAAAAGUUUGACUAGAAUGGUGAACUAAUUACAUCCCUGAGGGGCAGAUGAAGAAAAUAGCCAUUUUGGCCUUUAAGUAGUCAGGCAGUAAAAUUGAGGUUUUUCAGUGUGAGUUAUGAAGUUGGAUAUAAGACAAGCAAGCAGCCUAGUAAAACUCAUUGUAAAGCCAGAUUCACAACGGGCUACUUAGGCAAACUUAAACUGCUUCAAAUUUAGAAUAACGUUUUGGUGAAAUAAACCAUCAGGGAGCGCUGAAUAUCUGGCUUUUUUUUUUGUAGCCAGGCUGUAUUUUAGCAAAUCAUCAUUCUUUAUCUCAGUGGAUUCAGCUUCCAUCCCCUACAGUGAGCCUGCCAGUUCCAUGCCAGAAGUGCUGUAUUUGUGGGAACCCCAUUUCAGGGGCAUCUAUCUGGGAGCAGGGCUGCCAUUUUUUCCUAUUUUCCCCCCUCCUGUACUAAAUUGCAUUUUGUGUGAGACAAUAUAUGUAAAAGGAAUAAAAAUUAAUUAACAUUUAAAAGUGUAGAUACUGAAACAGAUUGAGGGAAACCAAAAUGUUAUCAAGGUCCUAGAAAUAACAAUCCUGUAAGUGGUUACUGCAGAAUAACUCAGUGUCUUGCAAAUGGGACACACAAUAUUACUGAAACCUGCAGAACAAUAAUCUUGAAAAUGAAUUGUGAGUUUAAUUUAGUUGUGGGUGCUGCAGGAAGUGUGAGCUUCACUAAUUGUUUCAAAGUCCUGUCUUGGUUUUGUGUGGAAAGAAUAGAAUGUCUUCUUUCUUUGCAAUGAGGGGGUAAUUCAUCUGAAGUUUUAGCCCUAAGGUUUAUUAGAAUACCUGUGUCUCUUCAGUAGCCGUGUUUUCAAUAUUUCUGUGAUUUACACCUGUGACUGUGUCCCUAGCAGAGGAAGAAAUGUAAUGAAGCUCUUUUUUUUUUGCACCCUGCUCUUAUUUUUCUGCAAAAACUGUUGGACAUUCUUGAAGCCUCGUGCUUACACCAUUUCUUGACUGUGCUUCCAUUGGUCCUCGAAGUGUGAAGCACUGUUUGAUCUUGGUGUUCUCAUGCUAUUGCCAAGCCACAGUGAUUUUUUAAUAGAAUUUUUAACAUUUCUGGUACAAAAGAACUGAAAUUCACAAACAUUAAGUUGUAGGAAUAUCAUCAAUAUCUUCUUAGCAGGCAGAAAAUAUCUGUGAAAGGAGCUGUCUGACCAGUCACUGGUUUUCCUUUUAGAAAAGCAAUGUAUUAUGGAAGAAAGGGCAAGCCACGUUCUGUACUUUGGGAACAAACCAGAUGAGCAAUUGCAGAUGAAAUAAAAUCUUAUCACUUCUUAAAAACCUAAAUAGUUUUUAAGAAGGCAGUUCAGGGAGGCAGUACUAAUGAAGUUAUACAGUGAUUGUUUCUGUACUGCUUUCCUGUUUUGCUAGUAUUUGUGUCCUCAGUUGAAACUCCUGUUUGGGUGGGUGUCUGUGGUAAAAUGAGCCAUGCAGGCCCUGCUUGGUGAUGCGUUUGAGGGUGCAGUUUGUGGGGCUGGAGCGUGCUCAGCACCUCAGCUUAGAAUCAUUUGCUAAAUUGGAGGAAGGCACUUCUACUUAUUUGAUUCCUAAGUAGUCAGUUUCCACAUUUAUUAUUGUGUCAGCUGUAUCUUUUAUUUUAAAGCAUCAAAUUAAAUAAUAGCUUAUGCUGGCUUUCUGUUUUAGUUCAUGCAUUUAAAACCUGGAAGUCAGAUAAAAAGAUAGUUUCAGAAUAGAUUCAGUAUAUUAUUUAUGAGUGGAGCAACACAUUAGCAUGGAGUUCACAAUAGAUCAUAUCGCUUUUAUUCCAUCUUACAAGCUUAGCAGCACAAACAGAAUAAUCAACAUAUUAUUUGGCUGUCAUCUGCUGAACAGAAAGCAGAGAUCACAAGGAGGUUUUCCCUAGCUGCAGUGAUGGCCUUUUUGUUCCAAGCCCCCAUCUGGGAGGGCCAUGGUGUGUUAUCAUAUGGAACGCGGGGUUUGCUGUAAUCUGCUUAGCUGCACUGCAGUUUGAAUCGUUAUUCCAUGUUUGUGUAAUUUAUAAUUUUAAUGAGACCAUGGCUCUUGUGGGCUUUGAAAUAUAUUAAAAGCUCUUUUGUGCAUAUGCUUUUGUUCUUGCUUAAUAGGCUCAGUGUAUUUAAAACUGAUGAAUUUUUAUUCAUGGAUUUGGAUGUCUGGGGAUUAACUUAGACUGAAUAUCAUUGCACUCAUCUAUUGAUGUUUGGAACUUUUUUAUACUUGUAUCUCUAAGUGGAGAAGACCUUACAGAACUUGUGUUUUACACAUAAAACAGCUCAGAAAUAACGAAUAAAAUUUUAUUGAGCAAUGAGAAAAAAUACUGAUUACACUUUAUUUUUACUGUAUAAACUCUCAUGAAGUACCACUUUGCUCUGAAAAAAAGUCCUGGAGUCCACGUUCAUGUGUGUAUUUAGAACUUUGUAACUAAAAAUCAGUUUGGGAAAGCAGUCAACAUUUUUGCAGAAUAACAGCAGUGAUAAGCACUUGAUUUGCAUUUUUCUUCUAUUCAGGUAACUUGAAAAAAUAAAUACUGAGCACUCUCUUGUCUGACUGUGUUGCCUUUCUCCUGUUUUUUAACACAUUUUUUUAAUGCAGAGUGUGCAUGAGCUAUUUUAUUAGAAGGUGAUGCUCAUAACUGGGGAGUAUUGAUAAACAUGCAGAAGGAUUCUUCACUGCUAUUUUCUGACAGUGCUAAAAGUGGUCUUGUUUUUUGCUUUUGUAUUUUUCAGAUGUUCAAUGGUUUGUUUACGGUUUAAUUGUCUGUCAGGUUUGAUUUCCUAUUUGUUUAAAGAUUUGAUUCUUUGUGAUUUCUGUGUUUCUACACUAAUGUGGAGCCUCUUCAAUGAUGGCAAUCUCUCUGAGGCCAACACUGGCAAUAAGAUGGAGACAAUUGUGUUUUUUUCUAAAUAGUCUUGGUGAUGGUGUACUGAAAUGUGGAGGGGUUGUUUGAUGUGGAGGGGCUUGGGUUUUUGUUUGUGGUGUUUUUGUUAGGUUUGUUGGAUUUUACCAGCAAACCAUCCUCUUUGUAAUGACAAAAUAUUUUAAGUAAACAGCUUUUUUAGUUCUCAGUGCACAGGGAAGUUAUUCACCCCUCUUCCAUUCGCUGCUUUGAGCAGUAUUUCCAAAAUCAUCUUUCCACAAGAUGUGUCAGCUGGGAAGCACAGGGGACACAUGAGCCAAGGGCAACUUCAGAUUCUGUAGGGUUGUAGAUUUUUAGUGCCUAAUGUGAAAAUUAGGCUUUGUCUUACUAAACUGAAAUGAAUUUCCAAUGUUUAUAUGUCUGCGUCUCAAGGCAGUGAAUGUAUUGAAAUUGAAGAUAAACACAUGUAGUUAUUUGACCAUUGUGACGCAGGCACAGCCCGUUUUUCUCAGUUACCAGGAAGGUGACUGUGGUGUCUGCCACACCUUUGGUGUUUGUCCUGACUUUGACCUUGUUGCAGAAGACUGUAAAGUGAAUUUUGGCAUCCCUGAGGCCCAGGCCUGCCAUGUAUGACCGUGCCUUUGCUCAGCUGUCUGGAUUUCAGUGUUCAGCAAAGAGGAGUGAAUGGAGCUGCAGAGGAGGACAGGCUUUGGAAUGCAUCUGGCCAUUAAAGCAGCUUUUUAUUCAGGGUUGUGCAAGUGUUAGGAGCUGCUUCCCAAAGGAUUAAACUCCUUGUCAGCUUGAGAUCAGCAGCUGAAGGAGCUCUCGUUGGAGACAAACUGCCAGUGCCUCGUAGAGAUAAUGUGUAAAAAAGUAAUCUCUUCCAGAAUAUCACCAAGCUUGCUCACAUUUGCCAGACCAAGUCCAGUGUUUCUUCCAGAGUAAAGCAACAGCUGGAAAUAAAAAGCAAUUCUUCUGAUCUCCAGCACAGAGGGACCUUUUGAAAAUUGUUCUUCAUUUUGCUUUAGAUGUUCAGAAUCCUCCGAUUAUAAUUAGAAUAUUUAAAGCAUUUUGUAUAUUUUGUAUAUUUAUAUUUUGUAUAUUUAUAUAUAUUUAAAGCAUAUUGUGUAUCUAAUAUGGGAAGCAUCCAAAUAAACAAGAUACACACACUUCCUUCUUCUAGCACAUGUAACGUCAGUUUCAUGCAGAAGUUUUAAAAUAAUAAUUUAAUAUAAAUAACAGCUCAAACAUAAAUAUUUAAAUGGCCUAGUCAGUGUGGAGUUUUUUCUUUGGUUUGGGUUUUUGGAUUGUUUUUUAAAGUAAUUUCAGAGUAAUUCUGUGGGAAAGAGGUGGUACAAGUUAUGCAUGGAGAAAGGUGUCUGGUUAGAAGUGGAGAACUUGGCAGAAGAGUUUGUGUUGUGGAAGGAAAAACUGAUAAUCUCUCACUACAUACUCAAUGACAUACACUACAAUUCACUACAAUUCACAACAUAUUCAGUUCCAGAACUGGGAAACAUUAUAUAAAGCAAAUGCUACCAGAAAUUUUUUAUGAAAGUAAAAAGUCUAUUUAGUGCCAAGUGCAGUGAUUUGUUUAGUCAUGCUUUCAGUGCCUGCAAUUUUGAUUUUCCUGUAUUUAAAAAUUCAGCGCCACAUUAAAUUGUCUUUCGCAAUACCAUUGGUUUUCUGGAAAUGAUAAAUCUGCUCAUUGAUUUUCUAAUUUUAUUAUGUACACAGCUAAUUGUAAUCCAAGAUUACAGCAAACAAGAUGUUAAUUUCUAGACAACCUAUGUACAUUUCCCUCAGAGUGCGAGUGCUACAGAAGCAAAGAGUACAAAGAGAAUACCAUUUGUGCUAUCCUCACAGGAGCUGUCAAUAAAAGAUGUAAUAGGGGAUUUAGGAAUCUGGAAAUGGCCAACUAAUUUAUGUGAAUCUAUUUUAUUUCAGCUAGAAAGCCCAAGCUCUGUUUCGUCUGCACUGCAUAUUGCAGAGCACAGGCUGUCUAUAGAAAACCAGGCGGCUGCAUAUGGAUAGUCCCUUGAUAUCAUUCACUUGCUGUGUAAUCUUAUUAUGCAAAGUUCUAAUCUUCACCUAGAAUGAAUGCCUCUGGGUCAGAAUAUAGUCAUAUCAGGGUUUUUGAGGUCAUGUUUUGUGAUCCUUAGCUUAUUCUUCUAAGUAGAGCUGGGAUUUAAAGAGUAUUCCCCAGACACUGGCAGAGAUAGACGGCAAAACCUGCUGCCUUUUUGGAAGACAAGACCAACAUGAGGUCCCUGGUAGGAUUAAACUUGAUUUGUAGCUGUAGGAUUUUUUAACAGAUGUAUUAUUGGACAGGGAAUAGGGGGCCACCAGCACAGCGAAAUUGGAUCACAAUUGGCAUUCUCAGGGAGUCCGCUGGCUGCUAAAACAGCAGCUGCAUGUGGAUUUGACUUCUUUCAGGUGAAGCGACUUCCAGUCAUUUGGAAAGGAUGGGAUGAAAAGGAACCUUGGUGAUAAUUUUGAUGUCUGCAAGAUUUAGUACCAAUGUAAUGGGAUUAUCGGUAACACCUUCGCUGCAGAAAAAGCCACCUGGCGCUAUAACUGGCAGCAACUGAGAACUAAUCCUUUCCCAUCUCUUGGAUGUCAUUCAUGAGGCUCCAAGUGAUUUCUACCCUGCUAGCUGUGAUUAAUUUUAUAAACAAACAAACAAAAACCCGAGUGAUGAAAGCAUAGGCUAUGGAAGGAAGAGGGAGCAGAAGAUACUAGUAAUUACAUUUUGCAUUUUAUUUGCUGUGUAUUUUACAUCUAUACAGUUGUGGUAAAAUAGCCAAAUUGUGUUUUCUGUGAUAAGUAUGGAUGUGUGACCUUUUUUAACCAGUGUUGAUUUCAGUAGAAAUUUUUCAGCUACCUGCUAUAUGAUAGUAGGUAGUACCUGGAAGUAAUUACAACAGGUUUUAGGCCAUUAGUUCUGCAAUAAGGAUGUUUAUACUACAGAGCCAUUAAGUUUUCAAGGGGCCUGUGACUUAAAUAAUUUGUUUUAUUGUACUCAAUGGUCUUACGUUUGAUCUGGUGGAGUUGCCUGCUGAUGGUGCUUUGUAUUAAAAUUGUGUGCUGUGGAAAACUGUUCAGCUGUUUACUUCCGUGUGGUCAACAAUAUGACAUUGUUUCAAAAAUGUAAUGAUACAAAGUUUUCAGAGGAAACAAUUCUAUUUUAAUGAUGCUCAAGUUGAUUCCUGUGUGGAUUUUUUUUUUUUUCUUUUUAAAUAAACUAGUUUGGUCUGGUGUUUUUUUUUA